rnacentral:rRNA from 1 species
UACGUAGGGUGCAAGCGUUAACCGGAAUUACUGGGCGUAAAGCGUGCGCAGGCGGUUCGCUAGGUCCGAUGUGAAAUCCCCGGGCUUAACCUGGGAACUGCAUUGGUGACUGGCGGGCUAGAGUAUGGCAGAGGGGGGUAGAAUUCCACGUGUAGCAGUGAAAUGCGUAGAGAUGUGGAGGAAUACCGAUGGCGAAGGCAGCCCCCUGGGCCAAUACUGACGCUCAUGCACGAAAGCGUGGGGAGCAAACAGG